rnacentral:rRNA from 1 species
AUUGAACGCUGGCGGCAUGCCUUACACAUGCAAGUCGAACGGCAGCACGGGUGCUUGCACCUGGUGGCGAGUGGCGAACGGGUGAGUAAUACAUCGGAACGUACCUUAUCGUGGGGGAUAACGCAGCGAAAGCUGUGCUAAUACCGCAUACGCCCUGAGGGGGAAAGCGGGGGAGCGCAAGACCUCGCGCGAUUAGAGCGGCCGAUGCCUGAUUAGCUUGUUGGUGGGGUAAAAGUCCACCAAGGCGACGAUCAGUAGCUGGUCUGAGAGGACGAUCAGCCACACUGGGACUGAGACACGGCCCAGACUCCUACGGGAGGCAGCAGUGGGGAAUUUUGGACAAUGGGGGCAACCCUGAUCCAGCAAUGCCGCGUGAGUGAAGAAGGCCUUCGGGUUGUAAAGCUCUUUUGUCAGGGAAGAAACACCGGCUCUAACACAGUCCGGGAAUGACGGUACCUGAAGAAUAAGCACCGGCUAACUACGUGCCAGCCGCCGCGGUAA